UACGUAGGUGGCGAGCGUUGUCCGGAUUUACUGGGUGUAAAGGGCGUGUAGGCGGGGAAACAAGUCAGAUGUGAAAUUCCGUGGCUUAACUGCGGGGCUGCAUCUGAAACUGUUUUUCUUGAGUGCUGGAGAGGAAAGUGGAAUUCCCAGUGUAGCGGUGAAAUGCGUAGAGAUUGGGAGGAACACCAGUGGCGAAGGUGGCUUUCUGGACAGUAACUGACGCUGAGGCGCGAAAGCGUGGGGAGCAAACAGG
rnacentral:rRNA from 1 species